ACAAUGAGCACAAGAUUUUAAAAGAGAGCAUGUUAGUGUCAGGAAGUUUUCCAGUUUAUGCACAGUUUAAAGGCAAAGCAAAUCAAAUUAUUCCUGCUCCCAUUGCACGAAAAGGUGCAUGAAAAGGACUUUGUAUGAUAUGUAAACUUGUCUGUGCAUUCCCUGCUUAGCAAGAAAAGUUGACAGAUUAUAAACCGUAUGUAGCCGUUAUGUGGGCACGUUGAUGCAAUAAUUUUGGAUAUGCUAUGCCUCUUUUUAUAUGGUGCUAAACAAUGUUUCAGUUCAUAACCUAUCACAUUUACUGAGCUUUUCCAAGCAAGCAAACUUCCUUUGAAAUAUCCAAAAAUCAUUCAAUCCAUUGUAAAAAGGGGCUUAAACAUAUCCAAAGUUUCCUGCGUACCUUUCACUGUUGGUUGGUAUGGACAACACAUUACAAAACGUGCACUUAGAGUUGCGUGAUUCUACAGAGGAGGAUUAAUUAAUGUAUUUGCAAGGCCUAUAGAGGGAAUUAGUGUCCUAGUUGAUGUUGAUUCUAUGCAAAUUAGAGCAUACAUUGACAGAUUUAGAGCUCCUUUACCUAAAGCUGGAGGUACCGACUUUCGUUCCAAGGCAAAGCCUAAUUCUACCAUUUAUAACGUAACAGAUGGUGGGUUUACCAUUGACGGCUACAUGGUUAGAUGGGCUAAUUGCGAUCUUCAUUUAGCAUUUGAAGAUCGGGCAGCCAUAGUUAUAUCAAAAGCCUCUAUAUUUGAUGCAAAAAUGAAGAAAUUUCGUUGUGUACCACAAAGAGGUCAUGUGUCCAAGACAUUUGUUCCAUGCAUGGAUCCUACCAGGAAUGGUAUUUAGGACUUUUAUGGACGUAGGAGAUACGGCUCGGCUUGAAGCCAACUCAGCUAUUGAUCGUAAAUCCGGAUAAGAAGACCCGACUCGGAAAUCAAGUGGGUUACCGGUUAAUUGCUGGACAACCAGUUAAUUCCCUUCUCUCUAAUGAUGAUCAUCCGCACAUUAGGGCUGCUUAUACAAAAUACCAAGCGUGGGCGACUCGCCAUAACAAGUCGGAGAGAUGGGCCGAUGGAUUUUUCGCUGACCGGAGCCGUGGUGAUGAUGGGUUAGCUGUGUGAGCCUCAGGAACAGAGUAAUUGAGAAAAGAGAUAUAGUUGUAUGGUACACCGUAGGGUUCCACCGCAAUCCAUGCCAAGAAUAUUUCCCGGUGAUGCCCACACUUCAUGAUGAAUUUCAGCUUCGACCUACAAAUUUUUUCGAAAGCAACCCAUUGCUUAACUGAUCAAGAAUCACAAUGUAUGUACAGGCAAGAAUCUGCUAACUGUGGAUAUGUUUUGUCAGUAGGCGAAAUUCUUUCAAAUAACAUGCUUGUGCGAUAACAUCAUGGAUGCAUAAUUACUUUAUUUUAAUGGAAAUUAUACGGUUUUUGCUUA